rnacentral:rRNA from 1 species
GACGAACGCUGGCGGCGUGCUUAACACAUGCAAGUCGAACGGUAAGGCCUUCGGGUACACGAGUGGCGAACGGGUGAGUAACACGUGGGUGAUCUGCCCUGCACUUCGGGAUAAGCCUGGGAAACUGGGUCUAAUACCGGAUAGGACUCCGGACUGCAUGGUCUGGGGUGGAAAGCUUUUGCGGUGUGGGAUGGGCCCGCGGCCUAUCAGCUUGUUGGUGGGGUGAUGGCCUACCAAGGCGACGACGGGUAGCCGGCCUGAGAGGGUGACCGGCCACACUGGGACUGAGAUACGGCCCAGACUCCUACGGGAGGCAGCAGUGGGGAAUAUUGCACAAUGGGCGCAAGCCUGAUGCAGCGACGCCGCGUGAGGGAUGACGGCCUUCGGGUUGUAAACCUCUUUCAGCAUCGACGAAGCGAAAGUGACGGUAGGUGCAGAAGAAGGACCGGCCAACUACGUGCCAGCAGCCGCAGUAA